rnacentral:lncRNA from 10 species
GAUCAGAAGAGGACUCUCCUGACCAGCCUGGGAAAAGUCUGAGCAGAGUCUGCAGGGGCAAAUACAACUUACUCAGACAAAAAAGGCUGUCAGCAGCAAGUCUAGGCAGAAGCCAGGAGGAGUUAGGAACAGACUAUAAGAAAUGGUUGGUCUGGAGGAAAAAGGGUAAAACUUAUGAGGGCCCUUGUGAAUUGAUGAAUAUGAAGACACUAAGAAAGCAGAAAUAGAACUGAGAAGAAUGAAAUAACUGUCUCUACCUUUCUCGAAUUGUCUAAUAUGGAAAGAAUGAAAGACAGCUAAUAAGCAACUCUCUGCAAGAAGACAUAUGGCUUAGAAUCUACUUGGAGAGAGUCAAACACAGAAUCCCUUUGAAUUUAAUGGCCAUUCCAGGUGAUUUGAACAGCCAAAUAAGAAACAGGUCCUCUUCAAUGUACAAUCUGCCAAGUAUGAAGUCUGAAUGACCAUCAUUAUUAUGUAUUUAAUGUGCAUAGAAAAUCUAUCUGCAACCUUCCAGAGUGUACCAGAAGUUUGGAAUGUACAUUAUUAUUGGCUCCAUCUCAAACCACUCAUAAAUCAAAGAAAAUAGCAGUUCCAGAGGAAUCAUCAUAGAGGCUUCUAGGCCCCCAUGCUGUGUGAACCUGGUGAGAAAGGGAAGUCUGCUCUCACUGGACACUGGAACUGUUUGUCUCUGUCUCUGCUGUACUUUCCCUGCCUCUACCUCACUUAGUAAAGAAAUCAUCUUUGCUUGAUAACUAAAACAACCAAUAAGGCUGAGAAAGGGGAAAACCCACAUCUGGAUUUAAAUACAAGGUAUUGGGCCAGCUGCUGGGGAUUAAACUUUGAACAAAACAGAUAGAAUCUAUGUCCUCAUGGGAGUGGCUAAUGGGAGAGUCGGAACAAAAAAAUAGCCAAGGAUAAUCCAGCAAAUGAUUUGGUGAAUGCUAUCAAAGAGAGAAAUACACAUGCUCUGGGAACACCAAGAAUAAACGAGAGAAAGGGACAUUAAUAUAUAUUGAAUAUCUGCUGUGUCAGGCACCUUACAUAUAUUGAUUGCUUCUUCACUUCUUUUAAUCUUUACUACACCACAUGAGGCUGUCAUAGAGAUUCUGAGG